rnacentral:rRNA from 1 species
CCUACGGGAGGCAGCAGUGGGGAAUAUUGGGCAAUGGAGUAAACUCUGACCCAGCAAUGCCGCGUGAAUGAAGAAGGUCUUCGGAUUGUAAAGUUCUUUAGUCAGGGAAGAAUAAAAUGACGGUACCUGAAGAAUAAGCUCCGGCUAACUACGGGCCAGCAGUCGCGGUAAUACGUAGGAAGCAAGCGUUGGUCGGAAUGACUGGUCGUAAAGGGUGCGUAGGCGGUUAUAAAAGUGAGAAGUGAAAUACCCCGGGCUUAACUCGGGUGCGGCUUAUAAAACUGUAAGACUUGAGUGCGGUAGAGGUUAGUGGAAUUCCUAGUGUAGCGGUGGAAUGCGUAGAUAUUAGGAAGAACACCAGAUGCGAAGGCGGCUAACUGGACUGCAACUGACGCUGAGGCACGAAAGUGUGGGUAGCAAACAGGAUUAGAUACCCCAGUAGUC